ACCUGCCUGUAAGACUGGGAUAACUCCGGGAAACCGGGGCUAAUACCGGAUGGUUGUUUGAACCGCAUGGUUCAAACAUAAAAGGUGGCUUCGGCUACCACUUACAGAUGGACCCGCGGCGCAUUAGCUAGUUGGUGAGGUAACGGCUCACCAAGGCAACGAUGCGUAGCCGACCUGAGAGGGUGAUCGGCCACACUGGGACUGAGACACGGCCCAGACUCCUACGGGAGGCAGCAGUAGGGAAUCUUCCGCAAUGGACGAAAGUCUGACGGAGCAACGCCGCGUGAGUGAUGAAGGUUUUCGGAUCGUAAAGCUCUGUUGUUAGGGAAGAACAAGUACCGUUCGAAUAGGGCGGUACCUUGACGGUACCUAACCAGAAAGCCACGGCUAACUACGUGCCAGCAGCCGCGGUAAUACGUAGGUGGCAAGCGUUGUCCGGAAUUAUUGGGCGUAAAGGGCUCGCAGGCGGUUUCUUAAGUCUGAUGUGAAAGCCCCCGGCUCAACCGGGGAGGGUCAUUGGAAACUGGGGAACUUGAGUGCAGAAGAGGAGAGUGGAAUUCCACGUGUAGCGGUGAAAUUGCUUAAAAGAUGUGGAAGGAACACCAGUUGGCGAAAGGCGACUCUCUGGUCUGUAACUGACGCUGAGGAGCGAAAAGCGUGGGGAGCCAAACAGGAUUAGAUACCCUGGUAGUCCACGCCGUAAACCAAUGAGUGCUAAGUGUUAGGGGGUUUCCGCCCCCUUAGUGGCUGCAGCCUAACGCCAUUAAGCCACUCCGCCCUGGGGGUACGGUCCGGAAGAACUGUAAACUAAAAAGAAUUUGAACGGGGGGCCCGCCACAAACCGU
rnacentral:rRNA from 1 species